GAUUGCAUCCCUGUAGCCACAUUUUUAAAAAGCAGAAACAGUCUUCAAAAUCUAGGAUGCACUUUGCUCUUCGAGCCCAUCUUAAAUCAGACCAGCCACAUAUCAAGUGCUCAGUGACCACACGGGGCUAGAAGUUGCCGACGGCCAACUAUGUCAUAGAGGCUUCCAGACACACCAGCAGUGUUUCACUUGGGGGCCACAGACCCCUAAGGCUUCACAAAAGAAUUUUGGGAACUCCAUUAAUUUCCCAGAAAAGAAUGAAGAUAACCUGUGACCUGAAUCAUGCACAGCUCUAGGAGCCCUGCUGUCAGUCCUCCCGGAUGGCAGCUUCCUGGGCCCAGCUCUCCCCACCCCACCCCCACCCCACCUCUGUCCCACACCACUGACUUCCCACUCUCCCCCAUGUAACUGGGAAGUUCCUUUCAAGCCCGGCUUGAAGAAGAACCAAAUGUUUUGGACACCAGCUCACUUAUGGUCAAGACACUUCCCCGAGUUCCUCUAAAGAUGCCAAAGUAAAGAUAACUAUGUUUAUUUCCCCCCCAAAGGAUGGAAAAAGAUUAUUCGUGCAACCAAUUUCAUAGUCUUGAUGUGAUCCCAAGCCAGCACGACAGGUUUCCCACAAAGCCAGUGUCUGGGAUCCUAUGAUUUCCAUCAACAAAAAUGUUAACGUUGACCAACAGCCACACUCACUUCAGGAUGAUUUAUUUGUAAAGGUUGAUAAAUCCCCAAGUAACCAAUUGUUUCAGAAAGAUCCCCUGAAGGGGUUGACCUGAGGAAUAAGCAUGGAUUUCCCUCUUGCUGGGUAGAUAAUGGGGAGCAGGGAGCACCUCUCACAGGCACUGAUGUCCUGGGAAGUCCUGACAUCCCCACUCUCCUGCCCUCCCCCCUGAGUGUGGCCCUCCACUCCAGGCAGGCCAGGCUCCCCUGGUCCCUAAGCACUGCUAGAGUACCCUAGCUUGAUACUCAUCAUCACUGUCCCCCUUUUCCUCUCUGCCCCUUCUUAGCCUUCAAGUCCCACCUCCUUCAAGAAGUUUCCAGGCUGCUUCAGCUCCCGAGUUUGCAGGUCCCUCCUCUGAUUUGCCCAAGCCUGGAUGACCUGCACUUUGUCCUCAGGCUCUGUGCUGGAAGCUGGAAGCCUGGGUUCCCAAGCAGGGCCAGUGUGGAGGUCCUGCACAGAAGUCCUCAAUACAGUUUUACUGAUCACUGGGUUUGAUGUGCUGCUUCAAGGAAGAGAGACCCUGGGAGUGACACUGGGAGGACACCCCCACCACAGGCAAGGACUGUGUCUUAUUCCAGCAUGGCAUCCCACCUGAAGCGGGCCCUCAUAGUAAGUGCUAAAUUAAUAAAUGUGUGAACAAGUUCACAGGUGCUUCACAAUCAUUUGUGGCACUGCGCACAUGAAGAGAGCUAUACCCAGACCUGCACAAAAGUAUCCUGAUCACAUACGUAACGCAGACAUGCAGACACGUUCAGUCGUCACAGGUUCCUACAAAAACCCUGCCUUUUCCAAUAUAAAAUUGCUCGCGUUAAGUGCUACACGGUUUUUCAAAUUUUAGUGAGAAGGGAAGAAAUAGUAAACUAUUUUAUAUCUAGAGUAAGGUAGAAGAUUCCAGUUCACACUUAGAUGGUUGGGGAAUUGGGAAAGCCCGGGCUGACAUGGAAUCCCUAAGACACGAAGGAUCAGCCCCGGGGCUGCCCCUCACCAGGCAAGGCCAUUGGGAGUCUCUGGACUUUUCACUCCCAGCAUUUUUGCUAGAUUGAGCCCUGGAUUACGCUUUUAGUCAAUAAGCACUAUCAACAAUCGGAAGGCAGAGUAGCUUAGUGAGUAAACUCCAGGGCAUGGGAGUCCAAACUGGGCUCAGUUUCCAUCUCAGGCACUGUACUAGUGAAUGUUCUCCAGAGAAACAGAAUGCGUAUGUAGACGCUGUGUUCAAGGGCCAUCUGGAAACAAAAUUCCUUCCUCCUAAUGGACCUCGGUCUUUUAAGAUCUCAACUGAUUGGUUGACGCCCAUCCACAUUAUGGAAGGUAAUCUGCUUUACUCAAAGUCUACUGAUUUAAAUAUUAAUCUCAUCUGCAACACACCGAUUGUGCACCCUCAAAAUUCAUAUGCUGAAACCCUCAUCCCAGUGGUGCGGUAUUGGAGCAUUAGGAGCUGGGGACUUGGGGAGGUAACUCAAUCAUGAGGAUAGAGCCCUCAUGAAUAGGACUAAUGCCCUUAUAAGAAAAGGCCAGAGAGCUGCUCACUCUGAGGAUGUUGCCAGAAAAGGGCUGCCUGCAACCUGGAAGACGGUUCUCCCCAGAACUCAACCAUGCUGCUACCCUGGUCUCAGACUUCCAGCCUCCAGAACUUUGAGAAAUCAAUUUCUGUUGUUUAUAAGCCACCCGGGGUUACAGCACUUGGUUAUAGCAGCCCCGAAGGACUAAGGCAUCAUCUAAAAAAUACCUUCCCAACAACAUCUACACUGGUGUGUGACCAAAUGAACACCUAGCCAAGCUGACGCAUAAAACUAACUAAGCCAUUUACUAGCUUUGCGAUUUGGGCCUCAGUGACAAUACCUGCUUUGUAAAGUUGGUGGCAGGUCAGGCAGGGGCGCACGCUUGAGUGCUGCACCCAGCACGUGGGGGAGGGGUCGGGGCCGGCAGUGGAGUUAGCCAGGGAGGCCAGGCCUCUGGAUUCUCAUGCACGUGUCAGGAGCAGCUGGGCCACCUUUCCAACCAGGUACAUGCCUCCUGCCGGGCUCGGUAGCAGGGACACAUCCUCAUGCUCACUCCUUCUGGCAACACUGAAGCCAUAGGUAGGAGUUGCCUCUCUCUACAUGGCCUGAUCACAGGGUCACUUUUGAGUCCCCCCUGAGGGCCGCAAUGCUAAUGCACUAGCUGAGGGGAGAUCAUAUUCCAUUCUGAAAAGGGCCAACUACAGGGACCUGUCUCUGUGCCUAUGAGAAGGAUCAGGCAUCACGAAGGCUCUCACUGGAGUUCACCUUGUACGAGAAAGUUAAGUCUUAAAAUACACAGUUUAUGGCAAAAGCACAAAAGGGAAUUAUCUCCCUAAGAAUUAAAGUUUCAGGGUGCCUGGGUGGCUCAGUCGGUUAAGGAUCUGAUUCAGUUUGGGUCAUGAUCUCCCAGUUCA